rnacentral:RNase_P_RNA from 1 species
GAAGCAAGCCAGACAGCCGCUGGCCGUUGCGCAUUGCGUAGCGGCGGGAGGAAGGUCCGGACUCCACAGAGCAGGGUGACGGCUAACGGCCGUCCGCCGAAAACAGAAGCUUCGGCUUCAGUAUAAGGCGAGGAACAGGGCCACAGAGACGAGCGUAUUAAGUUACGGUGAAACGCGGUAACCUCCACCCGGAGCAAUUCCAAAUAGGCACGCGAUGAUGUUGCUCGCGGAGCGUGCGGGUAGGAAGCUUGAGCCAUGGAGCAAUUCAUGGCCUAGAGGAAUGGCUGUCAUAGCCGGCAGUUUCUGCCGGCCGUAACAGAAUCCGGCCUAUCGGCUUGCUUUAUUU